AGUUCACAGUCCUGACAGACCCAUUAAUCUGAUAGAACAGUUAGCAUUAGGUAAUUAUUUUGGCAUUGGCAAUUUUGAUCUACUCCUAUUUUAAAACGCCAUCAUAGGGGUGCUUGCAUUUCUUGUUCAUGGUUUUAUUGCUCAAGUAAAAAUGCCUGCUUUUUAUAUUACUUAUUACAUAUGCAUGGAAAAGCAUGUAGAAGGUAACACCAAUAAAGUUUGGAUCAUAUGUUUCCAUCUAUAAUUGUUGUCUUGGUAUUCUCAAUCAGUGGACUUGUGCAUCGGCAAAAUUUGCAGUCUCCAUAAGGAUGCUAAUGAUAGGUCCUCAACACAAGCCUUAUUGGUAAGCUGAAAAACAGCUUCACACCUUCAUUUCAUUUCAAUAAUCGUCUGCAAGACUAAACCACUUAUCUUAUCCUUCCCUUUCUGUUGUCUUCGAUGCAGGACCAUCCAUUCUUGAGCGUGUAUGAUGACCUGCAUGUAGAUAGGACGAGAUCUCCCCUCGCCACCUUCAAGUAAUGAUAAUGUACUUGUUCUUUUAAUCUUUUCUUUUUAUGUAUCCAUCGUUGUGCACAUAAGUGAUACAUUUUAUUUUACAGUUUCAGGCAACUCUAAUUUUUUGUCCUCCUUAUUAAGCGAAGGGUGUGGUGACGCAUUUCCCUUAUUGGGCAAGGGUUGGGUUGUGUAGUGAGCUGUAAUGAUUCACAAUUCACCUGAUAUCAUGAUCUAGAUGGUUUUCUGAAAUGUGCAUUGAGCCAUUAGGAAACACAAAUGGGGUGUAUUGAUAACAAAUCUUUUUAGUCACAAAGAUUUUUUUUCUUGGAACCAUUAAUAGUUGGCCAACAGCUACAAUGGUACAAGCGUUUGUUUUAAUAUGUUGUGAAUUGCAAUGGUUGCAAGUGCCUUUGUUUUUUGUUUUGCAAAAAGCAGACCACUUAUCUGGUCUCAAGGUUCUUCAUGGCCUUGACUCUCAAAGAUUAGAGUAUUCUUGUCAAUGGGGAUAUCAAUGAAGGCUUGCUUCGCCUUUGUCACAAGCUUCAUUGUGUAAGGAAAGAAUAUGCAUACACAUUUAAAAGCACAAGCUUAUCUUAUCAGUGUUCCGAGGUUACCAGGAUCUUGCAAGGUAGGGGCACCAUAGUUAGCAUGAGACCCACUGAACGAAUAUGCAUAACUACAUUUGCAUUAAACAGAAGAUUGGGCCAAAUGAGCUACAACAUAAGAUUUUAUUUGAUAGAAGGGUCUAAUGAAAACAUUGGACCAUGAGAGUGCAGAGGCAGGGCCAUUGCUACUGCAAGUCGCCCCUAAGCCUGGUACUAAGAGUUGUAGGAGGCAAUAAUUCAUAGUUAUCUUUGCCUACAUGCUAUUCUCUAAACACAAUAUUUACGAGCUUGAUAGGCCUGUUUUGGAAUACAAAUUAUGUGUCCGAUAGGUAAAUAAUUUAUGCAAUGAUUCUUAGACCUUUGGCUCUUACUGCUUCAAGGAUUAAUGUGUGACUGUUUAGCCUUCAUUCCAAGCGGUAUGCCACUAAUCUCAAAAAUUGCUUCUACGCAAUAUUUACUUGAUAAUUUAUAGAUUUGUUGUUCCUUAGAGAUAUUUUUUCAUGUAAUAGGUUAUAAGGUUGUUCAUGACAUAUAGAGGUUUGUUGGUCAUAACUUAUACUAUAUGAAGAUUAUGGGAGUCAGCCCUAAAUUCACAUUUUCUGCAAUCUACAGAUUCAUGUAAAAAAGUUCAAUCUACAACAGCAUUUCCUCAAAAUGUCUAACAGACUUGUUUUCUUCAGGCUAGGGACCCAGGGGCUACACAUCUUAUAACUGAAAAACACAUGAGCAGUUUAUGAGGUUGUCAAGUUUUCAUUUCAAUGCAAAUCCAGCUGGACAACACCAUGUCACAAAGCAGUGUGCUUCUAGCUACAGUUCAGUCUUGGCGUCAUCGAAUCAAUGAAACAUGAAGUUAGAAGCACAUUGAGAUCCAGUGGCUUGUGACCAGUGGCUUGUGACUCCUUGACCCUUUAGAGGAAGCGCGCUAGAGUCGUUGGCAAGAAGAAGAGGAUCGCCAAGAAGAAGUCUGAGGCUGCCGAGUAACAAAAGCUUCUUGCUCAGAGGCUGAAGGAACAGAGAGACCGUGAGAGCUUGGCCAAGAGGGGGUCCAAGCUUUCUGCCGCUUCCAAGGCUUCCGCUGCCACCUCUGCUUAAGAAUGUUCGAUGCUUUGAGAUGUUUCAAGACCUAUCUUGUUAGAGCUUAAAUACCUUAUGCUACUCUGAUUGUGUUGCAACUUGCAACUGCCCCUGUACUUGAUAGAUUUGUAUUAGAUGCUCAAGCUAUAGAGGGUAGGUUCCUAAUUAUGGCCAUGUGACUAUGUACUAAAUUAUAUAUCUGUUGCUAAUUUACAAUACAUACAAAAUAAGUUU